UGUAGUAUAAAUGUAAAGUACUAAAGUGUCCUCCUCCUCUUUAAAGGUAGAUAUUUAUGAACCUCUUUCUAUUUCUCGAGUCGGGUUGAUCAGGAUUGGACCGAACCAACUUCAGAAUGUUCUCGGACCGCUCUAGCGGGUCGGGGGUGUUAUCAGUACUCCAUCUGAUAGGCUUAAUCCGUUGAUGUUUCUGCUGGGUCACUUCAAUGGGUCGAGGAUAUCAUCACUGAGCUUAGAUUGAAUAUUCCUCUCCCAUUUAUAAACUAAGAAGAGAAUUGAUCGGAAAUUGGAUAACAUCUGAAGGAUCGACCUCUUUUAUAAUCGUGAAGAAGGCCAAAGACAACGAUCUUUCAAAAAAACGGCGCCAAUUGGAACGACGGUUUCAAGAUUAGAGAAGAAUGUAUGACAUUAUACGAUUAGAGAGAAAAUUUCUCAAUAUAAGUGGGUAAAAUGAAC
rnacentral:lncRNA from 1 species